UAAAACGGGGCUAUUUAAAAUUCAUGGGGCUAAUUGAAAUUAUAAAAAUAAAAUAUUUGGAACCUCAUAACAUUUUAUUUUUCUACUAAUUGGAUAUUUUGUUUUCGUCUGGCAACACUCACUCUAAAGCUGUCACCACGCAAUGAAAUUUUGAGGUUAGAAAUGACAUGUGUGUGCUGCAAAAGGGGCUUGCAAAAAAUAUUAAAAAUAUUGCUUAAUUUAUGGCUCUCAUACUUUUAUUUGGUAACUAGUUAUUUUUUGAGUGCAAUUGAUCAUGGUGCGUACAUAUACUAGGAAGUAUACAAAUUCCAGAAAUGGCAAAUCUUUUUUACCUUACCAAAAUUACUCAGCGGAAAAUUUACAAGUAGCAAUAGAGAGUGUAAAAGAAGGAAGAAUGAGUCUUACCGAUGCCGCAGACACUUUUGGUGUGCCAAAGAGUACCUUAAGUAGAAAGACAAGAAAUAUUAACUGUACGCAAGAGACAGCAGGCCAUCCAACAUUAUUUACGCCUGAAGAAGAGAAAGUCUUCAUUAAAUUUGUUUUAAUAGUAGGGGAAUGGGGGUUUCCGUUUGAUACCACAGAUCUUCGUGUAUUUGCCAAGAAAUAUCUCGACAGACUUGGAAAAAAUGUGUAUAAUCUAAAAGAUAAUAUGCCAGGUUAUGAUUGGGCCAGAAACUUUCUUCAAAGACAUAGAUUACAAAUUUCAAACCGUAAAUCUGCACAUAUUUCCAGUGACCGA